UCCUUUCUAGACAAGUGGCUAGCAUGUGGUGCUCUCAUCGCCGCUGUCGGGGUUCAAUUCCCGGUCAGGGAA